GUAAUAAACUCUUUCAUUUAGACCCCGUGGGUAAGUAGUGUCUAAUUGGUUAAUCCAAUUUCUUUCAGCUCUUCUCCUCUGUGCCCUGGACCAGUGGGGGUUACAUUCAAGGACCAGGGCUUGGACCGAGCUCCAGUCGUGGGCUAUAAAAUGUUGGACUAUGUGUCUAUCAGUGUGUCUCCCAGUACUGAUGUUGGACUUGUGGCAUGUGAACCUGUCACUGAUGGAGAGCCCAGUCUCUCCUACAUACCUGAGGCCACAGGUGGCACAAGUGAUGAGGGGUUGGAGUUUAGCCCUAACUAAGUAGUCUUGUAAGUUUUUAUUUUUUCUGAAGGCUGCAAUGAGUCUGAGAUCAGAUUCUGGAAAACCCUGUGACAUUUUCUCAGGAAGGUCCUGGAGUACCCUCUGGUGGCCAAAGCGUGAAAUAGAAUUUUAGUGGCUUGUUUAAAAUCCUCAUUUUGAGUGCAGAUUCUGUGAAAUCUCAAUAAUUGAGAUUUAAUUAAGCCUGCAAAUGUAUGUUUAGGGUGAUGACUACUCAUCUGCAACAGGGCAUGGGUAUCUGUGUCCUUGAAAUAAACCUUGAUGUCUAAUUGUCCAUUUGUCUUGAAUUUGUUUCCUUUAAAGGUGGUAGUGUCUAAAAAAUUGACCGAAUUCAUGUCUGUAGUAGCUUUAAGUUUAAUUGAAGGAUUGUGUUGAUUAAGGGUAUUUAAAAAUGUGUCAAAGUCUUCCUGUGAAU